UUUGAACUCCCUCCGUCCCAAAAUUCUUGUCUUAAAUUUGUCUAAAUACGGAUGUAUCUAGUUACAUUUUAGUGUUACAUCCGUAUCUAAACAAAUGUAAGACAAGAAUUUUGCGACGGAGGGAAUACUAC
rfam:Triticum aestivum genome assembly, contig: Triticum_aestivum_CS42_TGACv1_scaffold_049693_1BS